GACCGGGACCAGGAAACGGCUGCUUGCACUCCGGCGGCAACCGGCUGAGGCCGCCCUGGGGUCCCUCCCACCGCCCGCAAAGCCAACCCGCCCCAGUUUCAGCGGCCGCGAGGUCCUCCCCCUCCACCCCGUUCCACGCCCCCUCCCAGCGUGGGACUCCUUCCGCCCCGGAGCCCCGCCCGGCUCCCGCCUCCCGCGCGGCCACCCCUGGCUGGGGAAGGGGCGGAGGAAUUCCCGAUCGCCGCGGGCCGUCCCGGCCGAAAGUCCUAACUGUCCCCGCCAGUCCCUAGCCUUGCCACAGUCCCGAUGUUAGAGGAGUCCCAACAUUUCAGCUGUCUCCUGGAUACCCACGCGGCCGACGUGGAACUCAGCAUCCCUCAAACAGGUGCCUUCCUCCAGGAUUCUCAGUUCCUAACGGGAUACCACCAUCCACUCUGGUGACAAGUGCUGCCAUCACUCCUGGCUCGGCCCCCUUCCUGGACCUACAGGUGCGGCAGUGAGGCGUCUGCCAUAGACCCUGGGCCCUGGCCUGGAGGGCUGAGUGUCCGCUGAGCGGGAGCAGCGUGGACGGAAGAGGAAGGAGUGGGUGGUGACUGUGCAGCCACCGCAUGUGACAGGUGUAGGCUGGGAACUUGCUACGUGUCGUCUCAAGUCUUCACGGCCACUUUACGAAGCUGACUAGCAGACUGAGCGACACUUCUGUGUUCACACAGUCCGUGCAGGGUUUGAGAUUUGAGUUCAUGUCUGACCACGUCCAAAGUGCUGCUUGUCGGUGGGCCACACUGCCUCCUAAAGACGCUCAGGGCUCAGGGUGGAGGGCAGAGCUCCGAGUUCUUUUUCCCUCUCCCCUUUGGGGAGGGUCCUGCUGACACUGGGCUUUCCUUUACUCUGCUGGUGAAGAGAGAUGGAGACAUGGAGGGCCAGAAGGGGCAGCCUCUCCCUUUGCCAAGCCUUUGCAUCUUUUCCUGGCAAUCCUCUUCCCCUUCCUUGGUGGGACUGGUACCGCACCAAACUCCCCUCUCUCGGAGCAAGCACCCCCCCGCCCCCUCCCUUUCCUCCAACAACCUGAUCACUUCCAAGUGUGCGUGGUCCCCCAGAGACAGGCGUCUGGAGGAAGGGCCCGCCUUGGAGCAGGGAGGUCGGCGCCCUGGGCCGCGGGCAGCCGCGCUCCAGCCCAGCCCAUCCACGGCUCUGCCUCCGUCCCUCCCUGUUUCCACAGCCCGCCCCCAACGAUUUCCUCCCUUCUCAGUCACUCGCUGCCUAGUGAUCCAUGGGUUUUAAAUUAUAACUGGGACCCAGGAAACGCGUUCCUAAGUACAAUAUUCAUGGGCUGGGCUGACACUUUUAAUUAAGGUGAUUUACACUGAAUUAUCCUUGGAAAUAAAGAAAUGGUGUGCUGCCCGGGAAUAAACCAUCAUCGCCAGCCGCCUUUGUAAGUUACACUUCGUUUUAAUCUAUUUGGGGAAUUGUUUAUCUAGUUCAUUACCCAACCAAACACCGAGGCCGGCCUUAAAUAAGGCUUAAGUGGGGGUGGGGGCACUGCCAUCUCCACAUGGCGCCUCUCCUCUAGUCACCCAGCCUCCCUCCGGCUUCUUCGAGCCCUUUUAAAGCACUGACCGGAGAGCCUGCUUGCCAGCCUAGAUGCCAGAUCUGAGUGGCUCAGGGGCCCUCUGGGCAAAGGUCUCUGAGCCCCGGCCCCACCAAGCCAAGCCCCACUUUCAGCUCUGCACGAUCUUUCCACAGCCCAGGCUCUCUCCUCUCUCUGGGCGGACUCUCCUGUUGGAGGGCCACAGAGAGGGCAGGUGGCCACCCGCCCACGUGCCCUUCAGUCUUUUUCUCCCACCUAAGUUCCUGCCUGUCUGUCUGUGCACAUCCAGUCUCCACCCCGUCCCCAUCCCCGAGAAAGCUUAGUGUGCCCAGGGCUCUGUCCGCUGACCCCUCCUCCUUCCGAUCCUUGCUACUUUGCCAUCACCCUUCCCGUGGCCCAGGUGAGAAAGUUCUUCCUAGAAAAUAGCCCAGGAGUAAUCAGCGAAGUUCUCUUACUUCUUUCUUCCUCCACCAGGCUCUCGCCAUCCCCCUUCUCUGUUCCACGGCCACUGCUGUUGUCCGAGGUCAGCCUCAUCGUCUAUCCCCUGGACCCUCUGCCUCAGCUCACUUACCUCCCUGCUGCUUCCCCACAUCGUCCUUCACACUGGCCUCCAGGGCGAGUCUCUCGGAUCCAGCUCACCAGUUCCCCCACGACCUCUAGGACUGCCCUCCGGCAUGGAAGGCCCCCCUCUAUCUGUUCUCAAACUCACUCUGCCCUCCUUGUCUAGCUCGCCGAGUCCUGGGGUCUGCUGCAGUGCCCGUGCAGGACCGAGAAGGCGGGAGAGCGGGGAUGAGGUGAGGGACGAUGUGUGGGCAGAGCCUCUGCUCCGGGAUGUAAAAGUGCUUCGAAAAAUACAAGUGCUUCACCAACAGGA